CGAGCACUUAAUACAGUGCUCAGCACCCCGGAAGUGCCCAGUAAAUACGGUCGAUUGAUCGAAUGAUAGGUUAGAAAUCGCCGGUUGAAUAGGUGCUCUUCUAUUCCUUUUCCUUCUCUCAAAACUCCCACCCGACCCCGCCUCCAUUUUCGCUCUCUCGACACCGUCUGCCCCGUGGUCCCCGAUCGUCUGUGCAGGCCGAGGACGCUCAAUCCGAUCUGGGGGUCUGCCGGCCGCCGCCGGUCGCCGUGGAACCGAGCCCGCUUAUCGGCCUGGUCACCCCGGGGUCCGUAUUUCCGGAAGAGAUCAAAGUCUGCCCCGGGAGGCAGCCAAUCGGAUUUCUGAUCCAUUUCCACCACCGGCCUCUCUGAGGAACAGCGGACGCCUGCCUGCUGGGUGACCUCGGGUUUCAUUUUCUGGCCAUGGAAAGAGCGAUUCCGGGUCACCAUGGUGACACAGGUUUUCAAAGAGCCUCCCGAAAGCCGAAAAAUCGAAGGGGACGCCCAAGCCUCUUCCUGGAAGGCCGAGCCUCGUCUCCAGGCCUCGGCUAUUUCCCGGGGGCCUCCGAGCAGCGGAACGGGAUGAGAGAUUCCCCAGGGAGGCUCUCAGAAGAUCAUCAACCUUCCCGGAAAUCAGCCCUCCUGGAGGGAUUCGCUUUUCCGCGGUCUUCCUCCUCCCCCCCACACCCGCCCUCACCGUUCGGGGCCCGGAUCAGCCGUGGAACACGGAAGGCAAAAGCGGAAAAUCACUCCGCGAUCUCGGUUCGCCUCCAGUUCGGGCAUCGCCUUGCCCAGGCCCGUCGCUGGGCCGACGGAGGCUGAAAACCGUAAUAAAAUCUAGCUGGUGCCUCUG